AGAGUAAACAAUGAUGUCGUUUAUUUAAAAUGUUUACUCCAAGAAAUAUAUAUAAAAAAAAAAUAAGACAAUUACAGCACUAAACCAGGCACCUUCGACCAAAUCACAACCUCUUCUCAGGUUCUCCCCCUUCGCCCUAAACCCCUUCUCCCAAAGGCUCCUUCCUGAGCUGGAAGACAGGUCAGAUGCCCGAGGGGUUGGUGCAGAGUCCGUGCCCAGACCGGGCCCCUCUUUCUCUUGGGGUGC
rnacentral:lncRNA from 1 species